CUCGAUGAGUAGGGCGGGACACGUGGUAUCCUGUCUGAAUAUGGGGGGACCAUCCUCCAAGGCUAAAUACUCCUGACUGACCGAUAGUGAACCAGUACCGUGAGGGAAAGGCGAAAAGAACCCCGGCGAGGGGAGUGAAAAAGAACCUGAAACCGUGUACGUACAAGCAGUGGGAGCACAGGUUUACCUGUGUGACUGCGUACCUUUUGUAUAAUGGGUCAGCGACUUAUAUUCUGUAGCAAGGUUAACCGAAUAGGGGAGCCGGAGGGAAACCGAGUCUUAAUUGGGCGUUAAGUUGCAGGGUAUAGACCCGAAACCCGGUGAUCUAGCCAUGGGCAGGUUGAAGGUUGGGUAACACUAACUGGAGGACCGAACCGACUAAUGUUGAAAAAUUAGCGGAUGACCUGUGGCUGGGGGUGAAAGGCCAAUCAAACCGGGAGAUAGCUGGUUCUCCCCGAAAGCUAUUUAGGUAGCGCCUCGUGAAUUCAUCUCCGGGGGUAGAGCACUGUUUCGGCUAGGGGGCCAUCCCGGCUUACCAACCCGAUGCAAACUGCGAAUACCGGAGAAUGUUAUCACGGGAGACACACGGCGGGUGCUAACGUCCGUCGUGAAGAGGGAAACAACCCAGACCGCCAGCUAAGGUCCCAAAGUCAUGGUUAAGUGGGAAACGAUGUGGGAAGGCCCAGACAGCCAGGAUGUUGGCUUAGAAGCAGCCAUCAUUUAAAGAAAGCGUAAUAGCUCACUGGUCGAGUCGGCCUGCGCGGAAGAUGUAACGGGGCUAAACCAUGCACCGAAGCUGCGGCAGCGACGCUGAUGCGUUGUUGGGUAGGGGAGCGUUCUGUAAGCCUGCGAAGGUGGCCUGUGAGGGUUGCUGGAGGUAUCAGAAGUGCGAAUGCUGACAUAAGUAACGAUAAAGCGGGUGAAAAGCCCGCUCGCCGGAAGACCAAGGGUUCCUGUCCAACGUUAAUCGGGGCAGGGUGAGUCGACCCCUAAGGCGAGGCCGAAAGGCGUAGUCGAUGGGAAACGGGUUAAUAUUCCCGUACUUGGUGUUACUGCGAAGGGGGGACGGAGAAGGCUAUGUUGGCCGGGCGACGGUUGUCCCGGUUUAAGCGUGUAGGUGUGUGUUCCAGGUAAAUCCGGUUCACUUUAACACUGAGGCGUGAUGACGAGGCACUACGGUGCUGAAGCAACAAAUGCCCUGCUUCCAGGAAAAGCCUCUAAGCAUCAGGUAACAU
rnacentral:rRNA from 1 species